rnacentral:rRNA from 1 species
GCUGCAUUCCCAAACAACUCGACUCGUCGAAGGGAUCUCACAUGGGAUUGACGGCCGGCCACGUACGGGAUUCUCACCCUCUAUGACGCCCUGUUCCAAGGAACUUAGGCCGGUAUCGCCCCCGAGAUGCCCUCUACAAAUUACAAUUCGGGCGCCAGAUGGAGCCAGAUUUCAAAUUUGAGCUGUUGCCGCUUCACUCGCCGUUACUGAGGCAAUCCCUGUUGGUUUCUUUUCCUCCGCUUAUUGAUAUGCUUAAGUUCAGCGGGUAUCCCUAUCUAAUCAGAGGUCAAUCUCGAUGGCGAAUAAAAAAGGUCUGUCCGGCAGGAGCCGCCCGGGGGUCGAUCAGCGAGAAUAAAAGUCACUGCGCUGGGACCCCGGCCGAUCCGCCGCUAAUUUUCGGAGGGGCCCCCCGGUGAGAGGGGGCCGCCGCCCAAUACCAAGCAGAGCUUGAGGGUAGAAAUGACGCUCUAAUAGACAUGCCCGCCGGAAUACCAGGGGGCGCAAUGUGCGUUCAAAGAUUCGAUGAUUCACUGAAUUCUGCAAUUCACAUUACUUAUCGCAUUUCGCUGCGUUCUUCAUCGAUGCCAGAACCAAGAGAUCCGUUGUUGAAAGUUUUUUCGCUAUUUUCAUAGUACAUUCUUCAGACGGUUUGUUAAAGCAAGAUUCUGAUGAUCCUCUGGCGGGGGCUCGCCAGCCCCGGGGGGGCCGGCGGGACCAUUUCUGGCCACGCCCCGCCAAAGCAACUCAAGGUAACGUUCACAAAGGGUGGGAGGUCUGGGGACCCCGAAGGGCGCCCCGGGCUCUCUUUAAUGAUCCUUCCGCAGGUUCACCUACGGAAACCUUGUUACGACUUUUACUUCCUCUAAAUGACCAAGUUUGACCAACUUUCCGGCUCUGGGUGGUCGUUGCCGACCUCCCUAAGCUAGUCCGAAGGCCUCACUGAGCCAU